AGAACGAACGCUGGCGGCAUGCCUAAUACAUGCAAGUCGAACGAACACUUCGGUGUUAGUGGCGCACGGGUGCGUAACGCGUGGGAAUCUGCCCUUGGGUUCGGAAUAACAGUUGGAAACGACUGCUAAUACCGGAUGAUAUCGAAAGAUCAAAGAUUUAUCGCCCAGGGAUGAGCCCGCGUAGGAUUAGCUAGUUGGUGAGGUAAAGGCUCACCAAGGCGACGAUCCUUAGCUGGUCUGAGAGGAUGAUCAGCCACACUGGGACUGAGACACGGCCCAGACUCCUACGGGAGGCAGCAGUAGGGAAUAUUGGACAAU
rnacentral:rRNA from 1 species